AGAGUUUGAUCCUGGCUCAGAGCGAACGCUGGCGGCAGGCUUAACACAUGCAAGUCGAGCGGGCAUAGCAAUAUGUCAGCGGCAGACGGGUGAGUAACGCGUGGGAACAUACCUUUUGGUUCGGAACAACACAGGGAAACUUGUGCUAAUACCGGAUAAGCCCUUACGGGGAAAGAUUUAUCGCCGAAAGAUUGGCCCGCGUCUGAUUAGCUAGUUGGUGAGGUAACGGCUCACCAAGGCGACGAUCAGUAGCUGGUCUGAGAGGAUGAUCAGCCACAUUGGGACUGAGACACGGCCCAAACUCCUACGGGAGGCAGCAGUGGGGAAUAUUGGACAAUGGGCGCAAGCCUGAUCCAGCCAUGCCGCGUGAGUGAUGAAGGCCCUAGGGUUGUAAAGCUCUUUUGUGCGGGAAGAUAAUGACGGUACCGCAAGAAUAAGCCCCGGCUAACUUCGUGCCAGCAGCCGCGGUAAUACGAAGGGGGCUAGCGUUGCUCGGAAUCACUGGGCGUAAAGGGUGCGUAGGCGGGUCUUUAAGUCAGGGGUGAAAUCCUGGAGCUCAACUCCAGAACUGCCUUUGAUACUGAGGAUCUUGAGUUCGGGAGAGGUGAGUGGAACUGCGAGUGUAGAGGUGAAAUUCGUAGAUAUUCACAAGAACACCAGUGGCGAAGGCGGCUCACUGGCCCGAUACUGACGCUGAGGCACGAAAGCGUGGGGAGCAAACAGGAUUAGAUACCCUGGUAGUCCACGCCGUAAACGAUGAAUGCCAGCCGUUAGUGGGUUUACUCACUAGUGGCGCAGCUAACGCUUUAAGCAUUCCGCCUGGGGAGUACGGUCGCAAGAUUAAAACCCAAAGGAAUUGACGGGGGCCCGCACAAGCGGUGGAGCAUGUGGUUUAAUUCGACGCAACGCGCAGAACCUUACCAGCCCUUGACAUCCCGGUCGCGGACUCCAGAGAUGGAGUCCUUCAGUUCGGCUGGACCGGAGACAGGUGCUGCAUGGCUGUCGUCAACUCGUGUCGUGAGAUGUUGGGUUAAGUCCCGCAACGAGCGCAACCCCCGUCCUUAGUUGCUACCAUUUAGUUGAGCACUCUAAGGAGACUGCCGGUGAUAAGCCGCGAGGAAGGUGGGGAUGACGUCAAGUCCUCAUGGCCCUUACGGGCUGGGCUACACACGUGCUACAAUGGCGGUGACAAUGGGACGCUAAGGGGCAACCCUUCGCAAAUCUCAAAAAGCCGUCUCAGUUCGGAUUGGGCUCUGCAACUCGAGCCCAUGAAGUUGGAAUCGCUAGUAAUCGUGGAUCAGCAUGCCACGGUGAAUACGUUCCCGGGCCUUGUACACACCGCCCGUCACACCAUGGGAGUUGGUUUUACCUGAAGACGGUGCGCUAACCCGCAAGGGAGGCAGCUGGCCACGGUAGGGUCAGCGACUGGGGUGAAGUCGUAACAAGGUA
rnacentral:rRNA from 1 species